CACUAUUGGCAGUUGGCACUCUAUUCGUUCAUUAUUCACUAUUCACUAUUUAAUAUCAAUAUUCAUUUUCAAUUUGAACUUUGAAGUUUGAAGAUGGAACGACCCGAUUGAGGAGUAUUAACACGGAACGCGCAUUCAAUAUUAAUGACUCUUUGGGGUCACAUUUUAAUGUAAUCUUCGAGCAAUUAUACGGUGGUUGGCGGCCGUAGACCACGUGGCGGCGGUAAUACAGGAAGAAGUAUGAAUAAUAUGAAUGGGAGAUGGUAAUUUGCGCUACACUAUCAACUUUCGGCCACAUGGCCAAAUAUUGUAAGCGUGUUUCAUAUACUUUUAAAUAUAAUAUUAUGGUAGUAGUUGUGGAGAAGGUUGGGGAGGUGGCAGCCGCUAUAGAUAGAUUGGCCAUCGAUGAACCUAAAGAUUCUGAUCAUUCAAAUGUGGCUAGGUCCUCACUUAGUAUUGUGCUAAACAGCUCCCACCCGUUCCUGGUUUCAAAAGGGAGAAAAAAAAGGUCCUAUUUCACAUGUUGUCAUGUCAAUUAAUUUAUCAUUUGAACGUCUGAAUAAAGACAGUGGGUUGUAUGUUCCAGUUCAUUAUUCACCAACUGCAGCUGCUCUGCUCAGAGUUACGGUUUACUUAACUGUUUCCUUCGAGCAGCAAAAAAACGUGGCAAUAAAGCCAAAAGUAAUUAUGAAUCAAAAGUGUAUUAAUAGGGAGCCGAAGGGACAUGGGCUCCCUACAAAAUAAAAACUUAUAUACAUCAUUAGUAUGAAUAAUAAGAUUAGCUAUUGUAAUGAAUAUUAUACAAUUUUAUAAAUUUCAAAAUACUACAACUGCUGUAAGCAUGAGCAUAUAACCCGCAAUUGCAGGAGACUGUGGAGGUGGUAAAGGCUGCAGUGGUGACAAUAAGGUUAAUGGCCGAAAUGUUCAUUGGUGUAAAUAAUUUUAAGAAUAUUUUUUUGUUAUAAUUAUUGUAUUGUAUAAUAUAUUUUUUAUAGAAAUCAGAUGAACUAUGUCUGGUAUUGUUUUUAAUUUAUCAACUUAAGUAUUUUACAUUAGUAUUUCUAAUUUGUGUGUAAUAAGAAAAUUAUAUUAUAUGAUUUUUGGUAGGAAAACCAAUUUGUCUUUAAAUACUCUGGCUUCAAGCACUGGUUGAUGAAUAUCAUGUUUAACAACUACUAACUAGCAAUGAAGUAUGAGUUGUCGGUAGAUCUCUUGAACCCAACAAGUACUGCUGAUCAAUAGUAUGUUCCGGAUCCUUCGCAAAACCGUUGAAUCCGGCUACCCCACCAAGCCUAAAGCUCUACGCUAUCGUGUACGGACCUGGCCUCUCCCCUAUUUGUCAAUCACGUGCUCGGCCGUGCUCCCCAUAUUUGUAUAUCACAUCACUAGGUCUUACGAAUUCGAGUCAUAUAACCAUUGUAUUUACUUCUAAGUACAGUUUUAUUAAUAAUUUAAAUGAA